rnacentral:tRNA from 1 species
AACAAUAUGUCUGAUUUAAGUAAUAAAUUGUAAAUUUAUUCAUGAAGUUAUACUUCUAUUGUUA